rnacentral:rRNA from 1 species
CGCCAGCCUGACGGAGCCAGACCGCGUGGGGGAGGAAGGCCCUUGGGUUGUAAACCCCUUUUCUCAGGGAAGAAACCUGACGGUACCUGAGGAAUCAGCCUCGGCUAACUCCGUGCCAGCAGCCGCGGUAAUACGGAGGAGGCAAGCGUUAUCCGGAAUUAUUGGGCGUAAAGCGUCCGCAGGUGGCGAUUCAAGUCUGCUGUCAAAGCACGGGGCUUAACUCCGUUAAGGCAGUGGAAACUGAAUGGCUAGAGUGCCGUAGGGGUAGAGGGAAUUCCCGGUGUAGCGGUGAAAUGCGUAGAGAUUGGGAAGAACACCGGUGGCGAAAGCGCUCUACUGGACCAUCACUGACACUCAGAGGACGAAAGCUAGGGGAGCG